rnacentral:misc_RNA from 1 species
GUAAAUAAUAAUUAUCAUAAUCUUUUGAUUGUGGAAUUGGGCCUUUAUUUCAUUAAUGAUUUAUGGCCUCAAAUUUACGUUACCGCUUGUUUAAUAUGAAAUUCGACCGAAUGGAGCAAUUAAACAUUCUCUCGUUAGGCGGAUUCAUCAAGCAAUUACGAUUUUUUGGCCGUCGAAGCACUUUUUUUUAGAAGUGCUUGGUCGAGAUUGUAAGAUACAUUUAA